CCUCCUCUCUGCACCCGGGGGGGUGACCCGGAACCUGGAGGCAGGGUGGGUGGUGUCUGUGCAUCCCGGGGUUGCUGCCAGUUAGCUGGAAGAUACUGCACGGGGUUCCAUGUUCAGACCUUUCCUGUGAGCCUAUUGCAACAAUGAAAAACAAACAAGCAACUACAACUCCACAAAACACCCCGGCCAGUUUGGCUCAGUAGCUAGAGCGUUAGCCCUGGGACUGAAGAGGUUCGAUGCCGGUGGAGGGUGGUAACCUCGGUUGCAGGCUCCAGACCUGGCCCUGGUCAGGAGGCAACCAAUUGGCGUGUCUCUCUCACACCGAUAUUUCUCUCUCUCUCUCUCUCUCUCUCUCUCUCUCUCUCCCCCCUCCCUUCCACUCUCUAAAAAUCCUCCGGUGAGGAUAACCAACCAAACAAACAAACAAAAAGCAGUUGAGUCCUAAGUCUGCCCUGGCUCCACUCCCACACCCCGCCAGAACCUGUCCCUUCUCUCUCCUUCCCAGGGAGGGGGUGCCAUCUUGUCUUGGGGAGCACAGUGAGUACUCAGUCCCUGCACCAGGGUGCCCCUCAGCAGAGCACACUGCCCUAGCAGUACUGGUCUGGCACCCUGGAGGCCUGCAUUGGCCUCUCCUGCUGCUUCAUAGGUAAGGGGGGGGGGGGGUUUCUUCGCUUCCUCCCUCAGGGGGCAGAUUUCCAUGUUGGGGUGUCUGCCUCCCGCAGCAAUUUCUGCCACCCUGGAGGACAAGAGGAGGCUCAGUAGGGGAGACCUACCCACACACACAUUGCCUUGAAAACAUCUGCUUUCCCUUCCAUCAUCCUGCCCCCUCGCCGAAGGAUAGUGUGGAAAUAUGACUUCAGCUCCCACGUAGACCCAAACAGUGGGCCCAAGGAACCUAACACCCACUCCUCUGGCUUGAGGACCUUGCUCUGCCCCCUCACAGGUCCUGGGGGGAGUUUGGGAGGAAUAUCUGGCAGGAGACACGGGUUACUUUCCAUAAAAGUCACAGAAGUCACGGCUGCAGCUCUUGGGACUGUCCAAGGCUGGCCAGCUCAGACGGCACCCAGAAGGCAUGGUGUUCCCAGCCAGGGCUGCCCUCAAACUGCCGGUGCCGCCAAGAUGGCAGCUGCUGCCUCUCCCCCCAGGAUGCACACUCUGGCUGUCACCGGGCUCUCUUCCCUGAGUCCUGGACUUAUGCUUGGCCACUGCACCGUCAGCCCGUGGAGCUCCCCUGCAGGCUGGGACACUCGCAUCUCUCUGGGUUCCUGGACCUUUGCCCUCCUUGGCUGCGUGGUUAUUUGUCUUUGUGCGGGGCAGCCAGGAUGAGAGUUCCAGCUGCAAGGGACGGUGGCGGUGCUGCCCUUUCGGUUUUUCUCCUUUCUCUCCAGCGGCUCUCGGGCAGGCUCCCCUCCACAGCUGGCUGUUAACAUUCUAGUAGGUAUCCUUGAGCUGCGUCUCAGGCACCCUCCUCUCAUCUCCAUUCUCACCCUGGUCUCUCUCUCCCAUUCUCAGCUGCCACAUUUACAUACCCAGCCCAGGCCCCUCCCCAGAACUAGAUAUUGAUGGCCAAGUGUCCCUUUGACUCCUUUACCCGGAAGCCCACAGGCCCACCUUGUCCUCCAGAGGCGAACUCCGCCCCCGUACACACCAGGUGCAUGAACCAAAGGGCAGGCGAUUACCCUGCCCCCGCCUCUGCCUCUCCCUCGCCAACCAGACACAAGCCAACAGCAAGUCAGCAUCUCAACUUCCAAAACAAUCCCAGAACCUACCUUCUCCUCAGCAUCAGUUGCACCAACCUAUGAAAACCUCCAUCAUCUCUCACUUUGACCGAUGCAGUCACCUUCAGUCUUGUCACCUCUAUCUACGCUGGUUCCUUUUUAAUUGAUUCUGCAUAAAUCUGCAAGUCUGAACCUGCCUCUCCCCUGACUAAAGCGCUCCGAGGGCUUCCCAUUGCCCCAUGACCCACAAGGUUCCAUCGAUUGCAGCCUGGCCUGCCUCUCUGGCAUCGUCUCACACCUCACUGCUCCUUGUACUCUGCAUGUCCAAAGGUCUUCUCCCUCCUGCUGCUCUCUGCCCAGGCUUUUCCCUCUCCGCCUGAUGAAAGCCUGUUCGUCAUUUGGAUCAACCCCUGCCCGGGAAAACUUCCCCUGACUUGGAGAUUCCUCAACUACAAACUCUUUCCUUGCUCCUGUCAACUGCAGUUCUAAACUUGUUUGUGGGGUGACCUAACCAGAGUCUGUCUUCCUCAUUGGACUGUUAGCUCUGUGAGGGCAGGAACCAUCAACAUGGAAUCCCCAGUGAAUAAAGGAAUGACUGCUUAUUGUACUAAA